rnacentral:rRNA from 1 species
CCUACGGGGGGCAGCAGUGGGGAAUAUUGCACAAUGGGGGAAACCCUGAUCCAGCGACGCCGCGUGAGUGAAGAAGUCUUUCGGUACGUAAAGCUCUAUCAGCAGGAAAGAAAAUGACGGUACCUGACUAAGAAGCCACGGCUAACUACGUGCCAGCAGCCGCGGUAAUACGUAGGGGGCAAGCGUUAUCCGGAUUUACUGGGUGUAAAGGGAGCGUAGACGGCCGCGCAAGACUGAAGUGAAAUGCCGGGGCCCAACCUCGGAACUGCGUUGGAAACUGUGAAGCUGGAGUGCAGGAGAGGUAAGCGGAAUUCCUGGUGUAGCGGUGAAAUGCGUAGAGAUCAGGAGGAACACCGGCGGCGAAGGCGGCUCACUGGACUGUAACUGACGUUGAGGCUCGAAGGCGUGGGGAGCAAACAGGAUUAGAUACCCGGGUAGUC